UAAUUAGGAGACAAACUCGGUUAGGGUUUCAUUCUCUCCCGUCUCUUAUAGCCGUCGGUAGCUUUCGCCGAUGGCAAGAUGCUGCCCCCUUUAUGUCUGUGAGGAUUGUGCUGUUGGAGAAGGUUGAUCUAUCUCGAGGUGAAGCUUCUAUGGGUUUUCCUAUUGAGGGGACCGAGGGUGGAAACUCCACUCCGAUCAUGGGCCUUCCCUUGAACGCCACGGAGGUGUCUUCUUCCCACACGACCACGUUUAUCUAAUCAGUUGCUUGUCCAAGUAAUCGCAUCCCCUUAUUCUUCGGGUAAGAGCGCGACGGAGGCCUCGCAUGCGGAAGAGUCCUCUUCCCAGACAACGUUGCUUUCUUCGGAUAAAGCUGUGUCGGAAUCUUGCAAGCAAAGGAGAUGGAUCACGGAAUCACAUCCACAACGAAGAGAUCGCCCCCUUCUUCCCAAUCUAGUUUGACUAAUGGUGAUUCCAAGCAUUCUCCUUUGGUAGUGGUCUGCUAUUCUGAUGAUCCAGCGAUGCAUGCAGAAACGACUACGUGCACGAUCGCAACUUCUUCUCAGAUUCGGAGCGCAAUCAAUUCUGCUUCCUUCCUCAAGGGCGAAUGCACUGCUCCCCGUGCUUUCUUCACGUGAGUGAAUCCUUUCCCUUUGCUCAUUAGUAAGCAGAGCAUCGAUAAAUCAAGUUUGGAUUCCCUUUCCAAUCUGAAAGUAAAGAUGCAUGUAGUUGAUUUGCAAAUUGCCCCCUCACUCUCUCUGCAAGUAAAGUUGCACGCUAGUGCAAUGCAAAUCACCCCCUCAUCUUUUCUCAACGCUGCUACGGACUCAGAUGCUAGAAACAAGGUGAACGCCACACAAUCCUCCUCUGUUUCUCAUGUUAACAAUGUUGGACGGCCUAGAAACAAAUCGUGGAGUUCUCUUUUCGCAUCAUCUCAUUGAUCUGAAAAUUGCUUUGUCUACCAUGAGGAUUCGAUUUUCUCUAAAGACAAUGUUCUUCGGAUCAAAGCAUUCGAGGAGGAGAUUGACGAGGGGGAAGAGCACCAAAAGAACUCUUUGGUUAUAUAUUUUGUCGGGUCACGACCACCUUCUUGUGUUGUUAAGAACCAAGUGAACUCUAUUUGGAAUCCUAUGGGAUCUCUCGAAGUUUUUGCUUUUGGAAGUGGGGUUCUUUAUUUUUAGAUUUGGUAAUUAGGAUGAUCUUACCAGAGUUAGGAAUUGGGUAUGUGGUAUAUUCACAAUAGAUUACUCAUCCUUCGUCGUGAUCGCGAAGCUCAAUUGACAAAAAUUAAUUUCUCUGCUAUCUCCUACGGGUAAAAUUCUACAACAUAUCAUUGUUCAUGUGGACUCUUAAAGCCCUCGUUAUAAUAGCAAGUGGUAUCAGCAAACCCUUGGUAUGGAUCUGCUAAAAUGCAAAAGAGAGUACAUUGAUUCCGCUAAAGUCUGCAUCGAGGUUCUUGCAUGCGAAGAGUUACUUGAUUCUAUUCAGAUCACUCUAAAUGAUACAAAUGAUUAUAACAUUAGGUUGAGUAUCACUGGAAGCCCGUAUGCUGCUCUUGUUGUAAUAUUUCUGAUCAUGUGACAAGGAACUGCACAAAAAUAAAUACAAAGACUAUCUUGAUUCCAAAACAAUGGUAUCAAAAUAAUGCUGAUUCUAUUGAAUCAAAAGUGUCAACUAAUCAAUAUCCAAAUAUGAUAGGCCCCUCAAUAGUUAUUAGUAAAAUGAUAAAGAGAAAUAAAUGUAAACCGGAAGAUCAGCCAUUGAAAGGAUAUAAUUCUGUAAUUACUUCUAGUCCCUCCCCCCUAAAGGCUUAUAGUUUUGUGAUAUUUAGACCUCUUUCUAGCGCUGAAAUAUUCAUACACAAAGACCGUCGAUAGCUGAGUUGGCCCGAUUGGUUCAUUGCCAAAUGUGCAAAUCCUUCAUGAUGACUCCUUGUUGAUGGGGGGAGUUGACAUGGCCAGCCGGUGUAGAGAGCCCGUUCGGGGAGGUGGUUCGCUGGUAGCGACCUGGCCUUGGCAUGGUAAAGCCGGGUAGAAGAGUUGGAUUUUCUUAGCUAUUGAGUCGCUUCCUAGCCGCAUCGAUGGUCCUGCAUAACUAGUCUACGUCGGGGGUCUUUUGGCUUGACCUCUCUGAUGCUUAAGUCUGCAAAAGAUGGAGAGGGAGGAAGACAAUAGUACGAGCAGUGUAAAUGUGAGGAUAGAGGGUUUUUUUCCUGCCCCCUCGUCUUGGUUUGGGGCUUGGUUUUUAUACUUGAGCAUCGAGUAGUCUAAGUGUGCGUUAGCUAAUGCCCCCCCUUACCCAGUAUGGUGGAGGCAUUAAUGAGGGCAACUUGCUGCCAUGUGUUCUCUAGCGCCUUGGGCGGACCAUUAGGAUGCCUUUGGGCCGACUCCCUUGCCGCUUUGGGUUAGGCAGGGAGUGGUCCCAACAUCGGUUGUCUGGAAGGGAAGGUUGGUGAAAUCGGGUCAUGUUGUCAGUCAUUAAUACAGAGACAUAGCUUUUGCUGAGAUGUCAGCCAGGAGGCAGUUGGGGAAACUAGGGCAUGUUGCCAGCCAUUUGUUAGUUAUAGGUGCCCUACAAGUCAAUCACAUGAGUGAUAACACCUAUGACAUGCUGCGACAAUCUCUUUGCUUAUUAUUAUUGACAUUUUAUCAUAUAUUAUUUGGAUAUAUAUUGUGAUGUCUUUGGAUCAAUCGCUUCUUCCGACGAGCUUCCGGCGAACAUCCGACGAGCCCUCGGCGAUGCUCCGGUGGACUUCCGGCAAACUCUUGGACUUGCGACGAUCCACUUGGCGAGUUCCGACGAGCUUCUUUGGCAAGCUCUUGGACUUCUCGAAUUUGUUCCCGUAGAACCUCCGACGACCGUUCGGACUUCCGUCGAACUCUCGAACCCCCAACGUGAUCAUGGUUUUGACUCCGGCGCAACUCCUGCUGUAUGUCUUACUUCCAUCGUAGUUAAUCUUGCACAUGUAAAACAAACUUCGAUCUAGACAAUUAAUACUAAGCAUUAAUCAAGUUGUCCAACAUGUCAUUGGUCCCUCGACGCUUCGUCCGAUUCUUCGGCGCAUCGUCCUCUCCUGUGGCCUAUUGGCCAAUCGGCCAGUUGACUCCACAACUCCGAUAUCCUUGGCGCAAUGUCCGCUCUUCUUGGCCUGAUGCCCGAAUCCACGGCUCGAAGCUUUUUGUCGAUACGUCGACCGAUCCACCGGCUCGACGAACAAUCUUCUGACAUGUUCCUCCGGCCCAACAUGAUUUUUCCUGCUUUAAUUGUCUCAUCCUGAUCGAAGCAUCCUGCGUCACUCAAAACGUAGAUUAAAACAUAAACACAAUUAUCAAUUGGUUUCAUCAUCAAAAUACAAGAUUCAACAAUCUCCCCCUUUUUGAUGAUGACAACCAAUUGAUGACGGAGUUAAACUUAACUCCCGGAGUUUAAACAAACUCCCCCUAUUAAUAUGCCAUAUUGAUAGAACCUUGAAUUCAAACUGAAUUCAAGUCAUUGCAAUAUUCAUCAUGAAUACUUAUAACACGUCAUCAUAAACUUAUGCAUAAACUUAUGGAAAACAUCAUACUUCUCCCCCUUUAUCAUCAACAAAAAGGAGAAGUCCAACUAUUCUUGUGUUUGGAAUAUAGGUUUAACUCAUUGUAUGAAAAACAUAAUAUCUAGUUUUAUCAUCAUGUAGUUUUGAAGCUAGAAAAUUUAACAAGUGUUCCAAUUGAAUCUCGUAUUUUGAUGGUGAAACCAAUUGAUAAUUGUGUUUAUGUUUUAAUAUGCGUUUUGAGUGACAUAUGAUGCUUCGAUUAGGAUGAGACAAUUAAAGCAGGAAAAAUCAUGUUGGGCCGGAGGAACAUGUUAGAAGAUUGGACAUCGAGCCGGUGGAUUGGUCGACGUAUCGACAGAAGGCUUCGGGCAUCGGGCCAAGAAGAGCGGGUAUUGCACCAAGGAUAUCGGAGUUGUGGAGUCAACUGGCCGAUUGGGCAAUAGGCCGUAGAAGAGGACGAUGCACCGAAGAAUCGGACGAAGCGUCGAGGGACCAAUGACAUGUCGGACAACUUGAUUAAUGCUUAGUAUUAAUUGUCUAGAUCGAAGUUUGUUUUACAUGUGUAGAAUUAACUACGAUGGAAGUAAGACAUGUAGCAGGAGUUGCACUAGAGUCAAGACUAUGAUCACGUUGGGGGUUCGAGAGUUCGACGAAAGUCCGGACGGUCGUCGAAGGUUUUGCGGGAAUAAAUCCGAGAAGUUUAGGAGCUUGCCAAAGAUGCUCAUCGGAACUCGCCAAGUGGAUCGUCGCAAGUCCAGGAGUUUACCGGAAGUCCACCGAAGCAUCGCCGAAGGUUCGUCGGAUGUUCGCCGGAAGUUCGUCGGAAGCUCGCCGGAAGAAGCGAUUGACGCACAUGAGCAAGUUGCAGUAAAUGUCUUAAGAAAUAUCAUAGUUAGCAUGUAGAUUAAGUUAGGAAUGAGAGGUGAUCCCAUUAACUUAAUCUGGAGGCAAUUGGACCCUUGACAGACCCAAAUUGAGUCGAAUGGAUCAGCCCAUUCGGACCCAGAUUUCCUGGCCGACGAUGGCACCACCCAGGAGCUCAGGAAAGCUGGGCAGUGCAACCUCCCAGGUCGGGCGGUGGUACCGCCCGGGCUCAGUCUUCGAGCGAGACUGGGCGGUGGUACCGCCCCUGUCAGGCGGUGGUAUCGCUUGGGCUCAAUCUCCGAGCGAGACUGGACGAUGGUAUCGCUCCUGUCAGGCGAUGGUACCACCUAAGCUCGGUCUCCGAGAGGUAGUACCGCCCAGUUAUGGCGGUAGUACCGCCCAGUUACCCCGAAAAUUCGGGAGAUGAUAUUUUUUAGCUCCAAAUUCAAACCAGUUUGGGGCCUAUAUAAACCCCACCCUUUCCUGCAUGAAAGGGUACCGAAAGCUUGAUCUUACUCUAUGAUUUUAGAGCUCAAAAGUGUUUUAAAGGCCAAAAGUUCUCCUCCCUCUUUUCUUCCAAGUUUUGAUCAUUCAAGAGAGGAGUGAAAAUUCUAUAAGGGUGUCUCCUAAGCCCGUUAAAAGGAGUGAAACUGUAAAAGGGUGGUUGGCCUUCGCCUAUUGAAAGAAGGCCUCUAGUAGACGCCGGUGACCUCGUCGGAGGAGGAAGCCAAAAGUGGAUGUAGGUCAAGAUUGACCGAACCACUCUAAAAUUACGGUGCUCUCUGGUUUGCAUUUCUUCUUGCUGCUUCCCUUACUGCAAACCUCCAUAUGUGCUUUACUUCCUUAAUACUUUUGCUGCACUCCUUUACGAACUCGCUUUCAAGUUAAGUUUCCGAAAACGGUUUUACGUCGGAAACAAUUUUAUUGUACGAACACAGUUUUAAUCGUCGAAAGUUUUUCGCUUCACUAAUUCACCCGCCCCCUCUUAGUGCUCUUGAUCCUAAUAAUUGGUAUCAGAGCCUCGUUAUUUCUUACUUGGAUUAACACCCAAGUGAAAUGGCUCUUUUCGGCAACCAAGAGGGUCACUCUCUCAUUCGUCCUCCCUUCAUCAAUGGGACGGACUACACUUAUUGGAAAACUCGAAUGAGAGUUUUUUUGCUUUCAUUGAAUAUUGAUUUAUGGCAUAUAGUCAAAAACGGAUUUGAAAUAUCUUCUCUUCCAAUGAACCAUUGGAAUGAUUUGGAGAAGAAGACGUUUUCUCUAAAUGCAAAGGCUAUGAAUGCCUUGUUUUGCGCGUUAGAUAAAAAUGAAUUCAAUCGGGUUUUUUUGUGCGAAAUAGCUUUCGACAUAUGACACACUCUUGAAAUCACACACGAAGGCACUUCUAGAGUUAAAGAUUCGAAAAUCAACUUUUUAAUGCAUGAUUUCGAGCUUUUUCGAAUGAAGCCGAGUGAAACCAUUGUUGACAUGUAUACCCGUUUUACGGAUGUCGUCAAUGGUUUAAAAGCUCUUGGCAAAUGUUUCUCGAAUUUUGAACUUGUUAGUAAAGUUUUAUGAUCACUUUCUAAAGCUUGGGAAUCAAAAGUAACGACAAUACAAGAAACAAAAGAUUUAAAUAUUUUUCCACUUGAAGAACUUAUCAGUUCAAUGAUGACAUAUGAAAUGGUACGCAAUGCACAUGAUGAAUAUGAUGAACAAAAUCACCUUCCAAAGAACAGAAAGGAUUUGAGACAUAGAACAUUUGAAGACCACUCAAGCAUAAGCUCAAGUGAUGGUGAACAAGAACUACUCACUAAGAAAUUUAAAAAAUUAAAGAAACAAAAAUUUAAGAACAAAAAGAACGGAACUACUUGCUUUGAAUGCAAGAAGAAGAACACAAAGUGGGAUGAAUCGAGCUCCUCCGAAGACGAGGAGAAAAUCAAGAAAGGUGAUGUGGCAAACUACGUCUUAACGACAUUCAACGAUGAGGUAAUCAAAACCCCUUUAAUUUAUUUCGAAAUUACAUGAUGCUUUCCAUAAUACAUUUUCUUUUUUAGUAUACAAUUAAUUUUCUUAAAAAUUACAUGUUUAAAUAAUAUAAUGAAAAUGCUAAUGAAUUAUGAUUAUGCUAAUCAUGCUUACCUCUCCAAUGAUUUUAAAAAUAAUUAUAAAAAAUAUAUAUCUUAUGAUAAACAAACAAAAUGAUUUUUGAUUGAAAAUAUGAAAUCAUGCUUGAUGAUUUAAUAAUGCAUAAUGAUGUUUUAAUACCAUGAUUGAUGAUUUUAUUUUAUGCAUGAGAUUUUAAAGUUAUACAUGAUGAUUUUUGUGGUUUAUUGAUCUUGAUGGUUUUUAUGAUGGAAUUUAUUUUUCAAUCCUAAACGAUUGAUGAUAUAUAUUCUUUUUGACAAAGACAUGCUUGUAUGAAAUAACUAAAUAGAGAAAAGUAUUUUUCUUGAAAAUUCUUUUUCUCUGUCUUAUUGACUUUGAUGAAUCUAUUUUAUCUUUUUAUGAAUCUCUUGAAAAUGAUUUUGAUUUGAUGAUUUGAAUUUGAAUGGGCUUUAUUUUGAUUUUUUGAGAUUUAAAACUUGAGAUUUACUCUAUAAAAAUCGAGAUCUUUUAUCCUCAAUGUUUCUUUUUGCCAUCUACUAUCCAAAUGAAUCAUGAUUGGUAUCAUUGCUAUAUUUCUUCUUGUCAUGUACUAGAGAAAAUUUUCCCAAAUGAAUCAUGAUUUUUCGGAACCAUAAUUUUUUUUAUGAUUCAUAAUGAAUUGAGAAAUUUUAUAUGCUUAAAUUAAUAUCUUGUUCUUAUACAAGAUUGAAUGAAUUUUAUCUAUAUCAUGAUCUCCUAAGAAUUCCUUUCAUUUUUUAUUUAAAGAGGAGAUGUGUAAUCAUGUCUUUUGGUAUUCAAGUGAUUUUAUCUUUCAUGACAUGAUGUGAUUGUAUUUAUAGCUUGUAUGCCUUGAAAUGAUUAAAAUAUUUUACACUAUUUUGUUCUUCCCUUCUUCUUUCUUGUUUACAAUGAUAAAAUUGAGAGAAAUUUCGAUCAUGCAUGGUAGGAUAUAGUUGCUAUAAUGAGAAUUUUACACUAUUACAUGCCUUAAUAACAUGUUAAAAAUUAUGUGUUUUGGAUACAAAAAUUUUCAUGAUGAUGAGCAUAUUUUAUCUCCAUGAUUGUGUUUGAAAAUCUAUAGCAAAACCAUGUCCGAAUGCAUAAAAGUGUUAAAUUUCAUUUUCGGAUUUUCUUGAUCCUAACAUGAUUUAUUAUUUCUCUUCCGGACUUAAUGUAGUUUUUAUAAGCAUAUGUCAUAUCGAGUUUGUUUCAUAUGAUUGGUUUUUGACAUAUGAAAUCAAUUAACAAAUGCAUCUCUCAUAGACUUAUCGUGUGAAAAAUAUUUUUUUUCGAGAAAUGGAUUUGAUGAAAUGAUUCCUUCUUAUGAAUUCCUUCUUGAAAAAGGAAGAUCUUUUUUAACAUUUGCAAGGAUUUGAUUCACAUACAUGUCUUGAUCCUUGCAAAAAUGAAGCUUGAUCCUUGCAAAAAUGGAUUUGAUCCUUGCAAAAAUGAAAAUAAAUAUUUAUAUCAUAUUUGAUGAUUUUACAUUUUAAUAAUAUGCAUGAUGAGUUGCAGUGAUGAUUGAUUUAUUUUUAAUAUCAUGCAUGAAAAAAUGAAAUCUAAGAUUUUGAAAAUGUGUAUUUUUUAAUUUGAAAAUAUAAGAAUACACAAAUAAGAUUGAUACUUAACCCUUGUCAUGAUUUGAAGAUUAUAGUAAAGGGAAAUGAAUUACACUAUUAUAUUGUUAUUCCCUUCUAUUUGGCAAUGACAUAGGGGGAGCAAAUUUUCCUAGCUUGCAAAUCUCAAGAGAAGCAAUGUGUGCUAAGUUACACAUUUUGAGAAGAAAUUGCUAUCUUGAAACAUCACCAAGAGUUGCUAGCUUGAAAUCUCAAGAAGAAGCAAAACAUGCUAACGUGCAUAUCUAGCAAACUUGCAUAUUUCAAGAAGCAAGAGUUGCCUUCUUGAUCAUCUCUAAUUUGCUAACUUGCAUGUAGAAGUUGCUAUCUCAAAAGAAGCAAAAGUGUUAUGUUGUAUGUUGUAAAACUUGCAUAUCUAAAACUUGAUAGCUUGAAUGUUCUAAGUAUGAUGUAAUACAUGCUAAAUUUUCUAGCUUCAAAACUACAUAAUGAUAAAACUUGAUAUUAUGUUUUUCAUGCAAUGAGUUAAACUUAUAUUACAAACACAUUAGAGUUGGAACUUCUCCUUUUUGUUGAUGACAAAGGGGGAGAAGUAUGAUGUUAUGCAUAAGUUUAUGUAACGUGUUGCAAGUAUUCAUGAUGAAUAUUGCAAUGACUUGAAUUCAGUUUGAAUUCAAGGUUCUAUCAAUAUGGCAUAUUGAUAGGGGGAGUUUGUUUAAACUCCGGGAGUUAAGUUUAACUCCGUCAUCAAUUGGUUGUCAUCAUCAAAAAGGGGGAGAUUGUUGAAUCUUGUAUUUUGAUGAUGAAACCAAUUGAUAAUUGUGUUUAUGUUUUAAUCUGUGUUUUGAGUGAGGUAGGAUGCUUCAAUCAGGAUGAGACAAUUAAAGCAGGAAAAAUCAUGUUGGGCCGGAGGAACAUGUUAGUAGAUUGGACGUCGAGCCGGUGGAUCGGUCGACGUAUCGACAGAAGGCUUCGGGCCGUGGAUUCGGGCAUCGGGCCAAGAAGAGCAGGUAUUGCACCAAGGAUAUCGGAGUUGCGGAGUCAACUAGCGGAUUGGGCAAUAGGCCGUAGGAGAGGACGAUACACCGAAGAAUCGGACGAAGUGUCGAGGGACCAAUGGCAUGUCGGACAACUUGAUUAAUGCUUAGUAUUAAUUGUCUAGAUCGAAGUUUGUUUUACAUAUGUAGGAUUAACUACGAUGGAAGUAAGACAUGCAGCAGGAGUUGCGCCAGAGUCAAGACUAUGAUCACGUUGGGGGUUCGAGAGUUCGACGGAAGUUCGGACGGUCAUCGGAGGUUCUGCGGGAACAAAUCCGAGAAGUCCAGGAGCUUGCCAAAGAAGCUCAUCGGAACUCGCCAAGUGGAUCGUCGCAAGUCUAGGAGUUUGCCGGAAGUCUGCCGGAGCAUCGCCGAAGGUUCGUCGGAUGUUCGCCGGAAGAAGCGAUUGACGCACCGGAGCAAGUUGCAGUAAAUGUCUUAAGAAAUAUCAUAGUUAGCAUGUAGAUUAAGUUAGGAAUGGGAGGUGAUCCCAUUAACUUAAUCUGGGGGCAAUUGGGCACUUGAUAGACCCAAAUUGGGCCGAAUGGAUUAGCCCAUUCAGACCCAGAUUUCCUGGCCGACGGUGGCACCGCCUAGGAGCUCAGGAAAGCUGGGCGGUACAACCGCCCAGGUCAGGCGGUGGUACCGCCCGAGCUUAGUCUCCGAGUGAGACUGGGCGGUGGUAUCGCCCCUAUCAGGCGAUGGUACCGCCUAAGCUCGGUCUCCGAGAGGUAGUACCACCCAGUUAUGGCGGUAGUACCGUCAGGACCCCGAAAAUCCGGGAGAUGACAUUUUUGGGCUCCAAAUUCAAACCAGUUUGGGGCCUAUAUAAGCCCCACCCUUUCCUGCAUGAAAGGGCACCGAAAGCUUGAUCUUACUCUGUGAUUUUAGAGCUCAAAAGUGUUUUAAAGGCCAAAAGUUCUCCUCCCUCUUUUCUUCCAAGUUUUGAUCAUUCAAGAGAGGAGUGAAAAUUCUAUAAGGGUGCCUCCUAAGCCCGUCAAAAGGAGUGAAACUGUAAAAGGGUGGUUGGCCUUCGCCUAUUGAAAGAAGGCCUCUAGUAGACGCCGGUGACCUCGUCGGAGGAGGAAACCAAAAGUGGAUGUAGGUCAAGAUUGACCUAACCACUCUAAAAUUAUGGUGCUCUUUGGUUUGCAUUUCUUCUUGCUGCUUACCUUACUGCAAACCUUCAUAUGUGCUUUACUUCCUUAUUACUUUUGCUGCACUCCUUUACAAACUCACUUUCAAGUUAAGUUUCCGAAAACGGUUUUGCGUCGGAAACGACUUCAUCGUACGAACACAGUUUUAAUCGUCGAAAGUUUUUUGCUGCACUAAUUCAAACCCCCCCCCCACCCCCCCCCCCCCUUUUAGUGCUCUUGAUCCUAACANNNNNNNNNNNNNNNNNNNNUUUUAGUGCUCUUGAUCCUAACAGUUACAUCAUACUUAGAACAUUCAAGCUAUUAAGUUUUAGAUAUGCAAGUUUUAUAACAUACAAGAUAGCACUUUUGCUUCUUUUGAGAUAGAAACUUCUACAUCAUGCAAGCUAGCAAAUUAAAGAUGUUCAAGAAGGCAACUCUUGCUUCUUGAAAUAUGAAAGUUACAAGUUUAGCAUGUUUAGCAUCUUGAGAUAGGCAAGAUAGCACAUUUUUGUAUUUUCUUGAGAUUUCAAGCUAGCAAUUAUCGGUGAUGUUCAAGAUAGCAAUUUCUUCUCUUUUGAGAAGUGUAAUUUUUGUUUUCAUCUUGAGUUAUGCAAGCUAGCUAGUUUGCCUUUUUUCAUGAUGUCCAUGCUAGAAAUUCUUGCUCCCCCUUUGUCAUUGUCAAAAAGAAGGGAAGACCCUUAUAUCAAUUUUCAUAUUAUGACAAAGGUAAGUAUCAAUUUUAUUUGUGCAUCAUUAUAUAUUCAAAUUAAAAUAUACAUAAUUUUAAAAACCUUAUUUUUCAUGCACGAUACCGAAAAAUAAAUCAAUCAUCAUUAAUGAGCAUAUCAUACAUGAUACUCAAACAUUAAAUUUUUUAAGCAUUUAUCAACAUGUUGAUCAUGAUACCAAACAUUCAUCAUUUAAAGCAUUCAUGAUACACAUCAUAUGCAAUACAUUAUGUACAUCAUUAUCAUAAGUAUUGCAUGCAUUAUUUCAAAUUCAUGAAUAUUUCAUCAUUGCAUGCAUCAUACCAACUCAUAAAAUAUAAAAUCAUCAUUAAUGCAUGAUUCCAAAUCAUCAUUUAUUUCACAUCAUGAUGUUACCAAUUUUGUCAAAUUACAUCCUAUGAUGCAUGAUCGAAACUUCUUAUUUGUAUACAUCAAAACAAAUUAAUGAAUAUUUCAUAUAUCAUAUCAUCACCUAAGGAAUAUCAAGAAGAAUUAUUAGGUGAUGAGAUGUAUUUCAUACAUUCAAAGAAUUUUACAUAACAAAAUUCAAGUCAUAAGCCUUAAAAGAUGUCAUGAGAGAACAUAUAAACAAUCUUGAUUUAUAAAAUGAAUACUCAAGUUAUAAUUUUGAAAAAUCAAGAGAAACUGUGAUUCAUUUUAACAAAUCUCCUCUUAAAUAAAUAACAUAAAGAAUUCUUAGGAGAUCAUGAAAAAGAUAGAAUUCAUUCAAUCUUCUAAGAAAACAAGAUAUUAAUUCAUGCAUAUAAAAUCUUGAUUUAAGCAUAAGAAAUCUCAAUUUACAAAUUUCAAAAAUUAAGAUAAAGCUCAUUUAAAUCAUCAAAUCAAGAUCAUUUUCAAGAGAUUCACAAAAGUAAUACAAAUAGAUUCGUUAAUUUCCCUUUUUGAAAAAUCAAUAAAGUCGGAAAAAUAAAUUUUUCAAGAAGAAACCUUUCCACUUUUUAGUUGUUUUAAUUCAUGUGAUUUAUUUCAUAUAUACAUGUUCUUUUCUUUUAUGCCAAAUAAAAACAUACAUCAACGUUUAAGAUCGAAAAAUGAAUUUCGUCAUAAAAACCAUCAAGACGAAAUCAUCAUGUAUAACUUUUUAAAAUCUCAUGCAUAAAAUCGUCAAUCAUGGUAUCAAAACAUUUAAUAUUUUCAUUACAUCAUUAUGCAUUACUUCAAAUCAAACAUGAUUUCAUUUAAUCAAAAUCGAGAAAUAACAAUGAUACACAUUAUUACUUCUUAACCACAUAUAGCAUGAUUUCAUAAGGCAUUUUUAAUCAUUUUUCAAUCAAAAUUAGAAAUCAUCAAGAAGAAUUUUUUUAAAAACAUACAUAGGAUUAUCAUUACAUUUNNNNNNNNNNNNNNNNNNNNNNNNNNNNNNNNNNNNNNNNNNNNNNNNNNNNNNNNNNNNNNNNNNNNNNNNNNNNNNNNNNNNNNNNNNNNNNNNNNNNNNNNNNNNNNNNNNNNNNNNNNNNNNNNNNNNNNNNNNNNNNNNNNNNNNNNNNNNNNNNNNNNNNNNNNNNNNNNNNNNNNNNNNNNNNNNNNNNNNNNNNNNNNNNNNNNNNNNNNNNNNNNNNNNNNNNNNNNNNNNNNNNNNNNNNNNNNNNNNNNNNNNNNNNNNNNNNNNNNNNNNNNNNNNNNNNNNNNNNNNNNNNNNNNNNNNNNNNNNNNNNNNNNNNNNNNNNNNNNNNNNNNNNNNNNNNNNNNNNNNNNNNNNNNNNNNNNNNNNNNNNNNNNNNNNNNNNNNNNNNNNNNNNNNNNNNNNNNNNNNNNNNNNNNNNNNNNNNNNNNNNNNNNNNNNNNNNNNNNNNNNNNNNNNNNNNNNNNNNNNNNNNNNNNNNNNNNNNNNNNNNNNNNNNNNNNNNNNNNNNNNNNNNNNNNNNNNNNNNNNNNNNNNNNNNNNNNNNNNNNNNNNNNNNNNNNNNNNNNNNNNNNNNNNNNNNNNNNNNNNNNNNNNNNNNNNNNNNNNNNNNNNNNNNNNNNNNNNNNNNNNNNNNNNNNNNNNNNNNNNNNNNNNNNNNNNNNNNNNNNNNNNNNNNNNNNNNNNNNNNNNNNNNNNNNNNNNNNNNNNNNNNNNNNNNNNNNNNNNNNNNNNNNNNNNNNNNNNNNNNNNNNNNNNNNNNNNNNNNNNNNNNNNNNNNNNNNNNNNNNNNNNNNNNNNNNNNNNNNNNNNNNNNNNNNNNNNNNNNNNNNNNNNNNNNNNNNNNNNNNNNNNNNNNNNNNNNNNNNNNNNNNNNNNNNNNNNNNNNNNNNNNNNNNNNNNNNNNNNNNNNNNNNNNNNNNNNNNNNNNNNNNNNNNNNNNNNNNNNNNNNNNNNNNNNNNNNNNNNNNNNNNNNNNNNNNNNNNNNNNNNNNNNNNNNNNNNNNNNNNNNNNNNNNNNNNNNNNNNNNNNNNNNNNNNNNNNNNNNNNNNNNNNNNNNNNNNNNNNNNNNNNNNNNNNNNNNNNNNNNNNNNNNNNNNNNNNNNNNNNNNNNNNNNNNNNNNNNNNNNNNNNNNNNNNNNNNNNNNNNNNNNNNNNNNNNNNNCAAUGAUACACAUUAUUACUUCUUAACCACAUAUAGCAUGAUUUCAUAAGGCAUUUUUAAUCAUUUUUCAAUCAAAAUUAGAAAUCAUCAAGAAGAAUUUUUUUAAAAACAUACAUAGGAUUAUCAUUACAUUUAAAUAUAUCAUUUUGUUGUAUUUUCAUAAGACAUGCACUUUUCAUGAUUAUUUUUAAAAUCACUAGAAAGGUAAGCAUGAUACAAUUUUAUUUUUGCAUCUUCAUUACAUCAUAAAACAUGCAAUUAAGAAAAGUAUUUAAUUUUCUUAGACUAAAUUAAACUGAAUUAAAAAUAAGUUAUGAGAAGCAUUAUGUAAUUUCAAAAUAAACUAAAGGAUUUUUUAUUACCUCAACGUCGAAGGCCGUUAAGGCAUAGCUUGCCACCUCGCCUUUAUUGAUUUUCUCCUCGUCUUCGGAGGAGCUUGAUUCUGUAGCAAAAAACUUUCGACGAUUAAAACUGCAUUCGUACGAUGAAAUCGUUUCCAACGUAAAAUCAUUUUCGGAAACUUAACUUGAAAGCGAGUUCGUAAAGGAGUGCAGCAAAAGUAAUAAGGAAGUAAAGCACAUAUGGAGGUUUGCAGUAAGGUAAGCAGCAAGAAGAAAUGCAAACCAGAGAGCACCGUAAUUUUAGAGUGGUUCGGUCAAUCUUGACCUACAUCCACUUUUGGCUUCCUCCUCCAACGAGGUUACCGACGUCCACUAGAGGUCUUCCUUCAAUAGGCGAAGGCCAACCACCCUUUUACAGUUUCACUUCUUUUGACGGGCUUAGGAGACAACCCUUAUAGAAUUUUCACUCCUCUCUUGAAUGAUUGAAACUUGGAAGAAAAGAGGGAGGAGAACUUUUAGCUUAUAUAACACUUUUGAGCUUUAAAAAUCAUAGAGUAAGAUUGGAUUUUCGGUGCCUUUUGGUUGCCCUUUCAUGCAAGAAAGGGUGGGGUUUAUAUAGGCCCAAACUGAUUUGAAUUUGGAGCUCAAAUGUGUCAUCUCCUAAAUUUCUGACGUCCUGGCGGUACUACAUCUCAAAGAUCGAGCUCAAGCGGUACCAUCGCCUGACAGGGGCGGUACCACCGCCCAGUCUCGCUCGAAGACUAAGCCCAGGCGGUACCACCGCCUGACCUGGGCGGUUGCACCACCCAGCUUUCCUGAGCUCCUGGGCGGUGCCACCGUCGGCCAGGAAAUCUGGGUCCGAAUGGGCUGAUCCAUGUGGCCUAAUUUGGGUCUGUCAAGGACCCAAUUGCCCCCAAAUUAAGUUAAUGGGAUCACCUCCCAUUCCUAACUUAAUCUACAUGCUAAAUAUGAUAUUUCUUAAGACAUUUACUACAACUUGCUCCGUGCGUCAAUCGCUUCUUCUGGCGAGCUUCCAACAAACAUCCGACGAACCCUCGGCGAUGCUCCGGCGGACUUCAGACAAACUCAUGGACUUGCGAUAAUCUACUUAGCGAGUUCCGACGAGCUUCUUUGGUAAGCUCCUGGACUUCUCGGAUUUGUUCCCGCAGAACCUCCGACUACCGUCCGGACUUCCGUCGAACUCUCGAACCCCCAACGUAAUCAUAGAUUUGACUCCGGCACAACUCCUGCUACAUGUCUUACUUCCAUCAUAGUUAAUCCUGCACAUGUAAAACAAACUUCGAUCUAGACAAUUAAUACUAAGCAUUAAUCAAGUUGUCCGGCAUGUUAUUGGUCCCUCGACGCUUCGUCUGAUUCUUCGGCGCAUCGUCCUCUCCUACGGCCUAUUGCCCAAUCGGCCAGUUGACUCCACAACUCCGAUAUCCUUAGCGUAAUGUCCGCUCUUCUUGGCCCGAUGCCUGAAUCCACGGCCCAAAGCCUUCUGUCGAUACGUCACCGAUCCACCGGCUCGACGUCCAAUCUUCUGACGUGUUCCUCCAACCCAACAUGAUUUUUCUUGCUUUAAUUGUCUCAUCCUGAUCCAAGCAUCCUACGUCACUCAAAACUUAGAUUAAAACAUAAACACAAUUAUCAAUUGGUUUCAUCAUCAAAAUACGAGAUUCGGCACUCACAAGAAAAAUCAUGAUUCAUUAGAAAAUCUCCACUUAAGAAAAUACCAAGUAGAAUCGUAGGAGAACGAUUAAUAAAAAAUAUUGAUUCAUAACAAAUCUUUCAAGUUAUAAUCAAUUCAUGAAUACCGAAAGAACAUUCAUGAUUCAUUUUGAUAAUUUUUCUCUUUUAUAAAUGAUAAAAAGAAGCAUAGGAGAUAAAAUAUUUUGAUUCAUAAAUCUCUCAAGAAUAUGUGAAAUAUUUGAAUAAAGGGUCAUUCAGAUUUAACUCAUCAAAAUCAUUUUCAUGGUCCAAGAGAUUCAUAAAGGUGAUAUAAAUAGAUUCAUUAAUCUCCUUUUUGGUAAAAUCGAGAAAGUAGGAAAAAUAUAUUUUUCUAGGAGAAACCUUUUGUGAUUUAUUUUAUUUAUGCCAAAUAAAAAUGUGCAUCAACGUUUAGGAUCGAAAAAUGAAUUUCAUCAUAAAAACUAUCAAGACCAAUAAAUCAUAAAAAUCAUUAUGUAUAACUUUAAAGUCUCAUGCAUAAAAUUAUCAAUCAUGGUAUCAAAACAUUUAAUAUUUUCAUCAUUAUGCAUAGCUUCAAAUCAAACAUGAUUUCAUAUUUUCAAUCAAAAUCAUUUUGUUUGUUUAUCAUAAAAUAUAUAUUUUUCAUGAUUAUUUUUAAAAUUACUAGAAUGAUAAGCAUUAUUCCUAUUUUUUAUUAUCAUUAUUUAAACAUACACUUUUUAAGAAAAUUAAUUCUAAACUAAAUUAAAAAUAACUUAAGAAAUAUAUCAUGUAAAUUCAAAAUAAACUAAAGGCGUUUUGAUUACCUCAACGUCGAAAGCUGUUAAGACGUAGUUUGCCACCUUGCCUUUGUUGAUUUUCUCCUUGUCUUCGGAGGACCUCGAUUCAUCCCACUUUGUGUUCUUCUUCUUGCGUUUAAAGCAAGUAGUUACAUUCUUUUUGUCCUUGUUCUUUAAUUCUUGUUUCAUGAACUUUUUAAAUUUCUUAGUGAGUAGUUCAUGUUCAUCAUCACUUAGCUUAUGCUCGAGUGGUCUUCAAAUGUUCUAAGUUCGAAAUCCUUCUUGUUCUUUGGAAGGUGGUUCUCAAGUUCUUUACGUGCAUUGCACAUCAUUUCAUAGGUCAUCAAGGACCCUAUUAGUUCUUCGAUUGGAAAUUGGUUCAAGUUUUUUGAUUCUUGAAUAACCGUUAUUUUUGAAUCCCAACUCUUAUUAAGAGAACGCAAAAUCUUGUUUACAAGUUCAAAAUCCGAAAAACAUUUGCCAAGAGCAUUUAAACCAUUGACGACAUCCGUAAAAUGGGUGUACAUGUCAACAAUGGUUUCGCUCGGCUUCAUUCGAAAAAGCUCGUAAUCAUGCAUUAAAAAAUUAAUUUUUGAAUCUUUAACUUUGCUAGUUCCUUCAUGUGUGAUUUUAAGAGUGUGCCAAAUAUCGAGAGCCGUUUUGCAAGUAGAAUCAUGAUUAAACUCAUUUCUAUCUAAGGCGCAAAACAAGACAUUCAUAGCCUUUGUAUUUAGAGAAAAUGUCUUCUUCUCCAAAUCAUUCCAAUGGUUCAUUGGAAGAGAAGACAUUUGAAAAUUGGAUUCGACUAUAUGCCAUAAAUCGAGAUCCAAUGAAAGCAAGAAAACUCUCAUUCGAGUUUUCCAAUAAAUGUAGUCUGUACCAUUGAAAAAGGGAGGACGAAUGAGAGAGUGACCCUCUUGAAAGUCAAAAAGAGUCAUUUCUCUUGGGUGUUAAACCAACUGAGAAAUCACGAGGCUUUGAUACCAAUUGUUAGGAUCAAGAGUCGGCACUAAGAGGGGGGGGGGUGAAUUAGUGCAGCGGUAAAAUAACGUCGGUUUAAAAACUUUCGUAUGAUAAAAACUGAUUUCGACGAAAACCGAUUUCGGAAGCUUAAUAACUUGGAAGCAUAUGGAAGCAUAGUGACUAAGUAGUUUGCAGUAUAUAAAUGGUAAGAAUAAAAUGCAAACCAGAGAACACAGCAGUUUUAGAGUGGUUCAGUCAACGUGACCUACAUCCACUUUUGGCUUCCUCAUCCGACGAGGUCACCCGCGUCCACUAGAGGCCUUCCUACAAUAGGUGAAGGCCAAUCACCUUUUACACCCCUCUUCUUCAUUUACCAUAUUUAGGAGACAACCCUUACAAGCACUCACUUCUCUCUCAAACUAGUCUAACACUUAGAAGAGGGAGAGGGGAUCACACAAGAUUUUAGCAACGUUUCUUUUUUUUUUUUUUAACUCUUUGUGCUUGUGUGCUUUAACCAGGGAUAAGAGGGGUAUUUAUAGGCUUCAAGUUGAUUCAAACUUGGAGCCUAAAAUUUUCCCAUCCCGGGUUUCUUGGGCAUGGGCGGUACCACCGCCCGGGUCUAGCAGUACCAUCACUUGGGGGAUAGUGCUGGGCGGUACCACCACCCAAACUGGUGGUACCACCGCCUGGCAUCCUGCCAAGGGAGGUACAACCGCCCAGACUAGCAGUACCAUCGCCUGACAUAGUCUCGAAGAUUGUGCCAUGACGGUGAGACUUCUUGGGGCACUGUUUGGGCCUCUUACAUGGGCCUAGCUGGCCCCUAAUUGGGUUGGCCCAAAUCCAAGCCCAAUUACGUGCUAACUACGAAAUCCUAAGACAUUUACUAAGCUAAACAAGUCCCUAUGACUAUUCUUCCGGCAAGCUUCUAGCGAUCUUCCGGUGAACUUACGACGAUCUCUCGGCAAUGUUCCGGCGGACUCCCGGCAAGCUCCUGGACUUCAUGACGAUCUUCUUGGCGAGUUUCGAUGAGCUUCUCUAGCAAGCUCUGAAUCAGCUAGUUCCAAUAGAACAUCCGACGAACGUCCGGACUUUCGAUGAACUCUUGAACUCCCAACGUGAUCUCGAUCUUGACUUCGGGACUUCAUUUUGCUACAUGUCUUGCUAUUGUAGUUAACCCUGCAUGUGUAAAACAAACUUCAAUCUAGACAAUUAAUACUAAGUAUUAAUCAAGUUGUCCGGCAUGUCAUUGGUCCCUCGACGCUUCAUCCGAUUCUUUGGCGUAUUGUCCUCUCUUGCGGCCUAUUGCCCAAUCGGCCAGUUGACUCUGCAACUCCGAUAUCCUUGGCAGAAUAUCCGCUCUUCAUGGCUCGAUGCCCUAAUCUACGGCCCGAAGCCUUCUAUCGAUACAUCAAUCGUUCCUCCGGCUCGACGUCCAAUCUUCUGAUAUGUUUUCCCCUAGCAUAACAUGAUUUCUUUUGCUUUAAUUGUCUCAUCCUGAUCGAAGCAUCCUGCAUCACUCAAAACAUAGAUUAAAACAUAAAUAUUUAUCGUUUGGUUUCAUCAUCAAAAUCUGAGAUUCAACACUAUAUACUUUGACUUGGAAUGAAACAUUGGGUUCUUACACAAAUGGAUGACACUCUAGCUGUCAUAAUACACCAUAUAGUUUUCCUAUUUCACCCCCAAUUCUUGUCAGAAUUCUUUCAUCCAUAAUAUUUCUUUGCAUACCUCUAUAGCAGUAAUAUAUUCUGCCUCUAUGGUGGAGAGAGCAAUACACUUUUGCAAUCUGGACUACCAUGACACAAUACAUAACAUGAUGUGGACUUCCUCGUAUCUAUAUCUCUUGUCAUAUCUGCAUCUGUGUAACCUGUCAACAUAGGUGGUCUACCUCUAAAACUUAAACAAAUAUUAGAACUCCCUCUGAGAUAUCUCAAAUUCCACUUCACUACUGCAUAGUGCUCUUUGCUUGGAUUUACAAGAAAUCUGCUAGUAACACCCACUACAUAUGCGAUGUCCGGCCUCUUACAUACCGUCGCGUAUAUUAAACUUCAAACUGCUGGAGCAUAAGGAACCUUUUGCAUCUUUUUCUUCUCCUCAUCACUUGACGGACAAUGUUCUGAGCACAACUUGAAGUGACCUACAAGAUUAAAUCCAACUAUUUUUUUAUCUAACCUCUUCCACUCAUCAUCUGUCAUGGUUGUGGGUUUUGCACUAUCCCCCUGCAAAGGUCCAUACAAAUAUUUGCAAUACAAGAGAUCUUUCAUUCAUGGUUUCCAUAUUAUCCAAUUGUUUCCAUUUAAACUAAUAAUGCGAGAAACAAUACUGACCUCCAUGUUCAAAUACAAAAAUUAAAUCACUACAAUCUUGCUCUGAUACUAGUUGAUAGGAUAUAAAGAGAAAUAAACUUUUGUAUAUGAACAAAUACUAGUUAGCCAUAACACAACGAAAUUAAAUGGAACCACAAUCAAAUAGAAUACUAAGAUAUACGUGGAAAACCCUUUCAAUGUGAAGGGUAAAAACCAUGAGGCAAACUAGAGAUAAUUCACUAUAAUAAUAUUGAAUAUACAAAUCUCAAUCUCUUGCCUAAACCCUAGCAACAAUCACUAGAGAAUAAUUGGGAUACAAUAAUCACGUCACUGUGCACAAUAUCUAAAACCUCCAUAAUUCUCCCUAAGUAAUCAUAGUAAGAAUCUACUAUAGAUCUGAUCUAACCUGAGAUUAAAGCACUGCUAGAUGAUUGAGAACAGUCUCUCUGUAUUGUCGUUGUCUUCUUUCCUUUCUUUGUCUUUCUUUUCUGCCCUGUUCUCCGCCUUGUUUUUGGAAUCCCGUGGCUACAAAAACUACCUCGUUGCUGUCUUUUUCUGCCUCUUUUAUAGCCACCACAACCUCCUAAUAUAAAUUAGGGUUAGGUUAAGAGGGGGUGAGUUGUGGGCUGAUAAAGCCCACCUUGGGCUUAAUAUGAGAUGUCAGCCCAACAACCUCUCCCUUUAGCUCAUAAAGGAGGCUGUCCCAUGACUCCUCAAUGUGAAGCCAUACCGACCAAAUGUCGGCAUAUCUCAUGUCUUUCUUUUGGUAAGGUCUUUGUCAACAUGUCUGCUCCGUUAUCAUCUGUGUGAAUUUUAUGAAGCUGCAACUGCUUCUCUUCAAAUACAUUUCGAAUCCACUGGUAUCUGAUAUUUAAUGCUUUGACUUCGAAUGAAACAUUGGGUUCUUUCACAAAAGGAUGACACUCUGGCGGUCACAAUGCACCACAUAGUUUUCCUAUUUCACCCCUAAUUCUUAUGAGAAUUUUUUCAUCCAUAAUAUUUCUUUGCAUACCUCUAUAGCAGCAAUAUAUUCUGCCUCUAUGGUGGAGAGAGCAAUACAACUUUGCAAUCUGGAUUGCUAUGACAUAGCUCCCCCUGCAAAAGUAAGUACAUAACAUAAUGUGGACUUCCUUGUAUCAAUAUCUCUUGCCAUAUCUGCAUCUGUGUAACCUGUCAACACAGGUGGUCCACAUCCAAAGCUUAAACAAACAUUAGAACUCCCUCUGAGAUAUCUCAAAAUCCACUUCACUGCUGCCCAAUGCUCUUUGCCCAGAUUUGCAAGUAAUCUGCUAGUAAAACCCACUGCAUAUGCGAUGUGCAGCCUCGUACAUACUAUCGCAUACAUUAAACUUCUAACUUCUGAAGCAUAAGGAACCUUUUGCAUCUUUUUCUUCUCCUCAUCACUUGACGGACUCUGUUCUGAGCAUAACUUGAAGUGACCUACAAGAAUAAACCCAAUUAUUUUUCUAUAUAAUCUCUUCCACUCAUCAUCUGUCAUAAUUGUGGGUUUUGCACUAUCCCCCGGCAAAAGUCCAUACAAAUAUUUGUAAUACAAGAGAUCUUCCAUUCUUGGUUUCCAUAUCAUCCAAUUGUUUCGAUUUAAACUAAUCAUGCGAGAAACAUUACUGGCCUCCAUGUUCAAAGAGAAGACAUUAAAUCACUACAACCCUGCUCUGAUACUAGUUGAUGGGAUAUAAAGAGAAAUAUAUUUUUGUAUAUGAACAAAUACUAGUAUGCCAUAACACAACGAAAUUAAAUGGAACCACAAUCAAAUAGAAUACCAAGAUAUACGUGGAAAAUCCCUUCAAUAUGAAGGGUAAAAACCAUGGGACAAAUUAGAGAUAAUUCACUAUAAUAAUAAUGAAUAUACAAAUCUCAAUAUCUUGCCCAAAACCCUAGUAACAAUCACAAGAGAAUAACUGAGAUACAAGGAUCACGUCACUGUGCAUAAUAUCUAAAACCUCCUUAAUUCUCCCCAAGUAAUCACAGUAAGAAUCUACUAUAGAUCUGAUUUAACCUGAGACGAAAGCACUGCUAGAUGAUUGAGAAUAGUCUCUCAGUGUUGUCUUUGUCUUCUUCCCUUUCUUUAUCUUCCGUUUCUACCAUGUUCUCCUCAUUUUCUUUAGAAUCCCGUGGCAGCCAAAAACUACCUCGUUGCUAUCUUUUUUUGCCUCUUUUUAUAGCCACCACACCCCCUAAUAUAAAUUAGGGUUAGGUUAAGAUGGCAUGAGCUGUGGACUGAUAAAGCCCACCUUGGGCUGAAUAUGGGCUGUUAGCCCAACAACCUCCCCCUUAAGCCCAAAAAGGAGGCUGUCCCAUAACUCCUCAAUAUGAAGCCUUGCGGACCAGUUGUCGGCAUAUCUCUUGUCGUUUUUUGGUAAAGUCUUUAUCAACAUGUAUGCUCUAUUGUCAUCUGUGUGAAUUUUCUGAAGCUACAACUGCUUCUCUUCAAAUACAUUUCGAAUCUAGUGAUAUCUGACAUCUAUAUGCUUUGACUUCGGAUGAAACAUUGGGUUUUUACACAAAUGCAUGACACUUUUGCUAUCACAAUGCACCAUAUAGUUUUCCUGUUUUACCCCCAAUUCUUGUAAAAAUCUUUCAUCCAUAAUAUUUCUUUGCAUAUCUCUAUAUCAGCAAUAUAUUCUGCCUAUAUGGUGGAGAGAGCAAUACACCUUUGCAAUAUGGAUUGCCAUGACAAAGCUUCCCCUGUAAAAGUAAGUACAUAACCUGAUAUGGACUUCCUCGUAUCUAUAUCUCUUGCCAUAUCUAUAUUUGUGUAACCUGUCAACACAGGUGGUCCACCUCCAUAGCUUAAAUAAACAUUAGAACUCCCUCUAAGAUAUAUCAAAAUCCACUUCACUACUGCCCAGUGCUAUUUGCCUAGAUUUGCAAGAAAUCUGCUAGUAACACCCACUGCAUAUGCGAUGUGCGGCCUCGUAUAUACCAUCGCGUACAUUAAACUUCCAACUUCUGAAGCAUAAGGAACCUUUUGCAUCUUUUUCUUCUCUUCAUCACUUAACGGACUCUGUUCUGAGCACAACUUAAAGUGACCUACAAGAAUAAACUCAACUGUUUUUCUAUCUAACCUCUUCCACUCAUCAUCUGUCAUAGUUGUGGGGCACUAUCCCUGUGCAAAGGUCCAUACAAAUUUUUGUAAUACAAGAGAUCUUCCAUUCUUGGUUUCUAUAUCAUCCAAUUGUUUCCAUUUAAACUAAUCAUGCGAGAAACACUACAGGCCUCCAUGUUCAAAUACAAAAAUUAAAUCACUAGAACCCUGCUUUGAUACCAGUUGAUGGGAUAUAAAGAGAAAUAAACUUUUGUAUAUGAACAAAUACUCGUAGGUCAUAACACACAGUAAAAUUAAAUAGAACCACAAUAAAAUAGAAUACCAAGAUAUACGUAGAAAAUACCUUUAAUGUAAAGGUUAAAAACCAUAAGGCAAACUAGAAAUAAUUUACUAUAAUAAUAAUGAAUAUACAAAUCUCAAUCUCUUGCCCAAAACCCUAGCAACAAUCACAAGAGAAUAAUUGAGAUACAAGGAUCACGUCACUAUACACAAUAUCUAAAACCUCCCUAAUUCUCCCUUAGUAAUCACAGUAAGAAUCUACUGUACAUAUAAUCUUACCUGAGAUGAAAGCACUGCUAGAUGAUUGAGAACAGUCUCUCUAUGUUGUCCGUUUCUUCUUCCCUUUCUUUCUCUUCCUUUUCUAUCUUGUUCUCCUCCUUUUCUUUGGAAUCCCGAAGCUGCCAAAAACUACCUCAUUGUUGUCUUUUUCUGCCUCUUUUUAUAGCCACCACAGUCCCAUAAUAUAAAUUAGGGUUAGGUUAAGAGGGGGUGAGCUGUGGGCUGGUAAAGCCCACCUUGGGCUGAAUAUGGGCUAUCAGCCCAACAACCUCCCCCUUCAGCCCAUAAAGGAGGCUGUCCCAUGACUCCUUAAUGUGAAGUCAUACCGAUUAGCAAUCGGCAUAUCUCCUAUCUUUCUUUUGGUAAGGUCUUUGUCAACAUGUCUGCUCCGUUGUCAUCUGUGUGGAUUUUCUAACGCUGCAACUGCUUCUCUUCAAAUACAUUUCAAAUCCAGUGGUAUCUGACAUCUAAUGCUUUGACUUGGAAUGAAACAUUGGGUUCUUACACAAAUGGAUGAUACUCUGGCUGUCACAAUGCACCAUAUAGUUUUCCUGUUUCACCCCCAAUUCUUGUAAGAAUUCUUUCAUCCAUAACAUUUCUUUGCAUACCUCUAUAGCAACAAUGCCUCUGUGGUGGAGAGAGCAAUACACCUUUGUAAUCUGGAUUACCAUGACAUAGCUCCCCCCGCAAAAGUAAGUACAUAACCUGAUGUGGACUUCCUCGUAUCUAUAUCUCUUGCCAUAUCUGCAUCUGUGUAACCUGUCAACACAAGUGGUCCACCUCCAAAGCUUAAACAAACAUUAGAACUCUCUCUAAGAUAUCUCAAAAUCCACUUCUCUACUGCCUAGUGCUCUUUGCCUGGAUUUGCACAAAAUAUGCUAGUAACACCCACUGCAUAUGCGAUGUCCGACCUCAUAUAUACCAUCACGUACAUUAAACUUCCUACUGCUGAAGCAUAUGGAACCUUUUGCAUCUUUUUCUUCUCCUCAUCACUUGACGAACUUUGUUUUGAGCACAACUUGAAGUGAACUGCAAGAAUAAACUCAACUGUUUUUCGAUCUAACCUCUUCCACUCAUCAUCUGUCAUAGUUGUGGGUUUUACACUAUCCCCCUACAAAGGUCCAUACAAAUCUUUGCAAUAUAAGAGAUCUUCCAUUCUUGGUUUUCAUAUCAUCCAAUUGUUUUCAUUUAAACUAAUCAUGCGAGAAAAUUACUGGCCUCUAUGUUCAAAUACAAAAAUUAAAUCACUACAACCCUACUCUAAUACUAGUUGAUUGAAUAUAAAGAGAAAUAAACUUUUGUAUAUGAACAAAUACUAGUAGGCCAUAAUACACAGUAAAAUUAAAUGGAAUCACAAUCAAAUAGAAUACCAAGAUAUACUUGGAAAACCCCUUCAAUGUGAAGGGUAAAAAUUAUGGGGCAAACUAGAGAUAAUUCACUAUAAUAAUAAUAAAUAUACAAAUCUCAAUCUAUUGCCCAAAAUCCUAGCAACAAUUACAAGAGAAUAACUGGGAUACAAGGAUCACGUCAUUGUGCACAAUAUCUAAAAUCUCCCUAAUUCUCCCCAAGUAAUCACAGUAAGAAUCUAUUGAAGAUCUGAUCUAACUUGAGAUGAAAGCAUUGCUAGAUGAUUGAAAACAGUCUCUUUGUGUUGUCCUUGUCUUCUUCCCUUUUUUUCUCUUCCUUUUCUCUCUUGUUCUCCUUCUUUUCUUUGGAAUCCCAUGGCUAUCAAAAACUACCUCGUUGCUGUCUUUUUCUGCCUCUUUUUAUAGCCAUCACACCUCCCCAAUAUAAAUUAGAGUUAGGUUAAGAGAGAGUGAGCUGUGGGCUGAUAAAGCCCACCUUGGGCUGAAUAUGGGCUUCAGCCCAACAACCCACACACGUUGAGAACAACUGAAUAUGGACACGAAGACCGAUGAGGUCAUUGGUCGGUUGUCUAAGAAUAACGACCACCUAGAGUGGCAACUGUCUACAAUUUGUAAGUGGCAACUGCAUACUAGGAUGAUGAGCAAGUGGCGACCAUGCAUAGUGAUGGUCAUAUGACUCGCGCAACGAUCGCAAAGGAAAAAAAUAGGGUUUUAUUUAUUAAAAUUAUAGUUUUACCCUUAUAAUCUUUUAAUUCCAAUUUAUAUCCUUUUGAUAAUUUCACCAUUUAGAAUUAUUUACUUCUAUUCUAUAUCCUACGAAAAAUUAUAGUUUUACCCUUCAAAAAUUAAAAUUUUCUGACUUAUAUCCUCAAUUAUAAAAUUACUUAAUUAACUUAUUUUAAUCAAAUAUUUUGAUCGGAUUUGAUCAUAAUUAUAUUUUAACUAUUUGAUUAGAUUUAGAUUUGAUCAAUUAGGUUUUGAUCAAAUUUGAGGAGAGUUAACUUUUUUAUUAAUUUUGACUUUGAUUAACUUAAUUAGUCUAAUGUUUAUCCCAAUUAAAUAGGAUUGAUUGGUCUAAGGGUUCCACAUGAAAUUAAUUUAAAAAUAUAAAAUUUUAUAUGUGAUAAUUAAAAUCUAAUUAUUGUUCUUGGAUAUUUUUUUGGUUAUUCAUAUGCAUAUGUUUAAAAUUAUAAAAUAAUAUUUAUUUUUUACAUAAAGGUAUUAUUUAUGUUUUACUAUAAUUAUAAUUAUUAUAUUUUUUUGUGUUGGUUACUAUUUAAUUGUAAGGUUAUUGUUUUGUUAUUAUUGAAUUGUUUUGACAUAAAUUAGAUUAAAAAAUUUUAGUGAAUAUUAUUUGUUUCUUACAUUCCUAAGUUUUAUCUAACUAGUAGCUACCAAGGUAGUUGCCUUGGGAUGACAGACUUAUGAGAUGUGAAUUAUAAUAAAUAUUUUUAAAAAAUAAUAUUUUAUAUUAUUUUAUUGCUUUUGUAGUCAUCAAAUGAGUCUAGACUAAUAACUUAUAAAAUUACAUUAAAGAAUUAGUCUUAAAUAUAUUAAAAAAAUAAUACUCACAAUGAUAUACAUAAUUAGAAGAUUUAGAUAAUCCUAAAGAAGAAUUUAUUUUGAAUAAUUAUGUGAUGGGGUAGGAUGAUAUUGUUUUGGAUAUCGUUUCAAUUUAGAGUUGUAUGCCCAAAAGUAUUAAACACUUUUCCACGAGGAUGAUAUUAAUCAUCUACAAAUAAUUUUAAGUGAAUACUAGAUAUAUUAAUAUUUCACCUAAGGGUGAAUAGAGAUGAUAUCAAUAGUUUAACAUUUAUUAAAAAACCUAAAUUAUUAAUAUUAUAUUAUUUUAUUAUAGUGGUACUUCCUCAAAUAUAUUCUUAUAAAUGUUCAUAUAUUUUCUGGAUUAAAUUAUUAUAAAUGGCUUGAGUAUAUGUAAUUUAUAUUGGGUGUGUUACACCUUAAUGUAAAGUAUAAGUCUAACUUUUAUAUAUUUUGAAUCAAAUAUUAUUUAUGAUAUUUGAUGGAUUAAUUAUGAUGUUUCAACUUAUAUUACCGAUAAUAUAUAUUCAUCUUAAUACGGGAACCAAAAGAGUAGAAGAUAUUCAUCGUUAUAAGGAAUCAUCUUAAAGCGAAAGCGAUGAUAGUGAAUACUUAUUGCCUAUGUAUAGAUAUGAUUAAUCUUAAGCGAAGGAUGCAUGUAAUGUUCCUAUAAUUCUAAAAAUUUGAGUUCUAUAUUUAAAAUUAUUAAGAUAUUAUUUCUCUUUUGGUAAUAGUAAACUUAUCAUAAUUCAAUAAAAGUUUUUUGAAUUAUAUAUAAUGGUUUGUAAUUAUUCUAUAAUCAAAUAUUCGAAUGGAAUAUAAUUUUAUGAACUCCUUGAGAUUAUAUAUGCUUGCAUCUAUGACUCAUUUUAUAUUUUUUGUUUCAAUAGAAAAAUAUAUUUUAUCAUAUUUAUAGAUUAUUUAUUGAGAUAUGACUAUCUAAGAUAUCAUACUAUUGACAAUUUUAGGUAUACAUAAAUAAAGUCGAGAGAUAAUUAGAUAAAAAAAUUAAAAUUAUUAGAUUUGACAAGAUGAUAAAUUUUAUGACUGUUAUGAUGAGCUUGAUUAUAAUUAUAGUUAUUUAGUUAUAUUUGUAGAAAAAUGGGAUAUUUAUACUCAAUAUAUUUUAUCAGAUGUGUCAUAGUAGAACGAAAUUAUUGAAAGAUUAGGAGCAUGAUGAGUUAUUCAUUUGUACUUGAAUAUGUUCUCAUUAAAGUAAUUUGAACACAGGAGAAAUAGUUUGAACUCUAUUUUGCCAAAAAAAAAAAAAAACUGAUAUACACCAUAUAGAAUGAUCAUUCUUUUUCUUCUAAUGACUUGGCUUACUAGUUCAAAUAUUUUUUAUUUUAAUGCAUGUACCUUUUUGCUACUUAGGUAAGAAUAUAUAUUAUAUACACCAUAUAGAAUGAUCUAAAUAUUGAUAUCCUUCAUAGCAAUCUCUCACUAUACGACUUUUAAUGUAUUUCUUGUUUGCUACUUAAUCAAGAAUGGAUAAAAUAUAAUUAUUUUUUAAUUCUAUCUAAAUUUUUUGGUUAAUACUUAUAUUAUUUAUAAAUCAUCUUCCUAUAAGUGAAUACUUGAUUGAAUGAAAGACUAUGAUAAACUGAAAGCUAAUGAAGACAAGGGAUUAGCUUCUUAUGCUAAUCUCUCAAGAUCAACAAGCAAAUAAAUGUUUAAAAGCAACAUGUUCCAAACCAAAUGCUUUGCAAGAACAAUUGAGAAGUUCCAAUUUGAGUGCAUUUCAGGGGCUUCAAGUUAAGCAGGGUUUCACUUUUUUUUCUUUUCUUUUCUUAAGUUAUUUGAUGAAGAAAUCUUUUUUUCUUCCUAACAUAUCUGAAACAAGGUUUUUUUUAUCAUUUAAGUUUCUAAAUAUUCGUCCUGAAAAAAACAAAUAACAAGACUUGUGCUUGAGUCAUCAUGUAUUCUAAAUGUUUUUUCUCGUUACUUAAAUGUUUUCCUCAAAUGUUUCUUUCUAGUGUGCAAAACAACACCAGCAUGAGAUUAUAUUAGUUUCAUAUUGAAACUUGAAGAACUAGAUUAAGAUACAACGAUAACAAAGCGUAUUCUGUUUUUUAGAAAUCCUGUGCUUGCUACUUGAAUCUUUUCCUCGUUUUGAUAUUUCUAUCAUGUAAAACAUCAGAUUCUGUGAGUACAAAAGGCAACGAGAAUAAUCUUGAGGUAGAUUUAUGUCGAGGAUUGAUAUUGUUUCUGUAGAUUAUAAUGCUUUACUGUUUCCAUUGUGUGGAACAGCAUGAGAUUUUGUGAAGUACACAAAGAUUCAAAUUCUUUUUGACAAGAUUUAUUUAACUGGGUUGGGUCAAACUCGAUUGAGCAUCGUCUUUCCCGACAGAUAAGACUCGGUAAAAUUAAAUUUCGUUUUCUUUCUUUUCUUAAAUUAU
rnacentral:lncRNA from 1 species